GGCUCGUUGGUCUAGGGGUAUGAUUCUCGCUUUGGGUGCGAGUGGUCUCGGGUUCAAAUCCCGGACGAGCCC
rnacentral:tRNA from 1 species